rnacentral:lncRNA from 1 species
GUGCCUUUAAAUUACGUAUUUGUGGAUUUGACCUAUUGAGAUAUAUCAAUAUUCCUAUGCAUAUAUACAUAUUUGCCCAAUAAAUCUUUUGAUAAACAAAGAAGGGUAGUAUAAUUCUUAGAAAACAGUGGUUUCUGCUAUUGAGCUAUUUGCUUUAGAUUUGAUGUGUCUAUAAAUGGCUAUACAAAAUAUGUUUUAAGUAGUGAUAAUAGAUUAGAUAUUAAGCAACUGAAUGUGGCAGCUAGGACUAAGGUAUAUUACCAAGUUUUUAUCUUCAUUGAACAAAUCAUAGAAGAAAGUGGGGAAUUCAUUUCAUACCUUUCUCUGUAUAUACUCCAUAUUGAUUUAACUACUUAAAUCAUCUCAUGGGUAUAUAACUCUUAUUUCAUCUAUAUCUUUUUUUCCCUGACUCCUCUGAUAGCUUAGGAGAGAAGAAAGGUAUGUUCAGAGGCAUAUGCAAAGACCUGCCAGAACACUCACAAAUGGGGUGAUGAGAGUAACGGGGUAGUGAGAAGCAUUAAUUUUGUAUAGAAGUCAGAUAUACAAGCAUUAAAAUAUAUGCCUAUUAUAACCACUUAAAUUAUGGUUCAUUUUGAUAGAAAAAAAUUCUGCUGAAAAUCUAAUUUCAGGCAGUUGUUCACCAAGCAGAAUCAUAGUAACUAUCUUAUCUGUGCU